rnacentral:rRNA from 1 species
GUGGGGAAUUUUGGACAAUGGGCGCAAGCCUGAUCCAGCCAUGCCGCGUGCAGGAUGAAGGCCUUCGGGUUGUAAACUGCUUUUGUACGGAACGAAAAGGCUCUGGUUAAUACCUGGGGCUCAUGACGGUACCGUAAGAAUAAGCACCGGCUAACUACGUGCCAGCAGCCGCGGUAAUACGUAGGGUGCAAGCGUUAAUCGGAAUUACUGGGCGUAAAGCGUGCGCAGGCGGUUUUGUAAGACAGACGUGAAAUCCCCGGGCUCAACCUGGGAAUGGCGUUUGUGACUGCAAAGCUGGAGUGCGGCAGAGGGGGAUGGAAUUCCGCGUGUAGCAGUGAAAUGCGUAGAUAUGCGGAGGAACACCGAUGGCGAAGGCAAUCCCCUGGGCCUGCACUGACGCUCAUGCACGAAAGCGUGGGGAGCAAACAGGAUUAGAAACCCGAGUAGUC